rnacentral:rRNA from 1 species
UUCGCCCUUCGGUUGAUCCUGCCGGACCCGACUGCUAUCAGAGUGGGAUUAAGCCAUGCGAGUUAACGUAGCAAUACGUGGCAUACGGCUCAGUAACACGUAGUCAACAUGCCCAGGGGACGUGGAUAACCUCGGGAAACUGAGGCUAAACCGCGAUAGGCCAAGAUUUCUGGAAUGGAUCAUGGCUUAAAUCUAUAUGGCCCCUGGAUUGGACUGCGGCCGAUCAGGCUGUUGGUGAGGUAAUGGCCCACCAAACCUGUAACCGGUACGGGCUCUGAGAGGAGGAGCCCGGAGAUGGGCACUUAGACAAGGGCCCAGGCCCUAUGGGGCGCAGCAGGCGCGAAACCUCUGCAAUAAGCGAAAGCUUGACAGGGUUACUCUGAGUGAUUUCCGCUAAGGAAGUCUUUUGGCACCUCUAAAAAUGGUGCAGAAUAAGGGGUGGGCAAGUCUGGUGUCAGCCGCCGCGGUAAUACCAGCACCCCGAGUGGUCGGGACGAUUAUUGGGCCUAAAGCAUCCGUAGCCGGUCCUGCAAGUCCUCCGUUAAAUCCACCCGCUCAACGGUUGGGCCGCGGGGGAUACUACAGGGCUAGGAGGCGGGAGAGGCAAGCGGUACUCGAUGGGUAGGGGUAAAAUCCACUGAUCCAUUGAAGACCACCAGUGGCGAAGGCGGCUUGCCAGAACGCGCUCGACGGUGAGGGAUGAAAGCUGAGGGAGCAAACCGGAUUAGAUACCCGGGUAG